rnacentral:lncRNA from 1 species
GUUCUCAUAAUAACUCAGACUCAGAAAUGUUCCAAGCGGAGGGCCAGGAAGCAGCAGAGCCGGAUCAAAUGCAGUUCAUCUGAGGGAAAGCCUGGGAUCCAAGUCAUGGCAUUAUUCACUCCAAAAGGGCCGGGGCUCUGAUGAGGAAGGCAGUUGUUACAGUUCCAGGCUUUUAAUAGUCAAUUAUCAGCUUAGCAUCUUUUUUUAACUGUGCUUCUGACACAGAUUCACACCUGUGACCGGUGUGGACCCUGCCCAGCAGCCUCCACCCACGGUGGGUUUUAGACAUUGAAUCAGACGAAGCCCAAAUUAACUGGGUAUGUGCAGUACUGCAACAAACUACCUCCGGCUCUGCUUUGARAAAGCAUUGAUUAUUGAUCAAACCUAAGAUGAUUGAUCUUUAUGGCUAAUGUUCAUGUAGUAUAUAUUAUAAAUGAGGAUAACUAAAUGCACCGAAUUUAGAAGAUAGCAUUAUAGCUUCAUUUUAAGUGGCAAGAUCUUAUGACUUCUAAGUUACACUAUGAUGAGAAAUAGUAGCAAAAAAAARAAGAAGAAGAAGAAGUCCAAGCACAUCCUGGGCAUUGGCACAUCACUUCAUUGAACCUCUUGACCUCCCUAGGAAGGGAUGGUGACAGAUACUCCAGAAGUCAAUCAGCAGGAAAGAAGAUGUGAAAAAAAAUUAAAUAAAUAAAUAAAUAAUCAGUUCUCUUAAGUUGGAAACAGAGGCAGACUCAGAGCACCCACACAGGCCCUGGCCGGGCCCCAAGCAGCCUGCUUCCCAUCCUGAGAUCUGCAGGAGAGGGGGCGCUCCACCUGCUGGGGAUGGCACUGCCCUGGAACUGUAAGGGACAGUGCCACCGUCAAGGUCAGGCUGGAGGAGAAUGCCAGCUGACACCACAUCAGUCUAGUGAUCGAAGUAACGUCACCCAUGGGGAGGCUUGUCAACAUCACGUCCCCUGACACAGCCCACAGACAAGGCCACAUCACUCCAGUGGGACUCUUACACAAUGCACAGCCUCUGUCUCAUCAGGAGAAAACAUCAAACCAACUCAAAAUGAGCUGUAUCCAAGGCAAGGCAAGACUGAGAAACUGUGAGAGAUCAGAGGACUCCGAGGAGACCUGGCAACGGAUGGGAAGCAGCAUUCUUCUGGGACCUGGGAACACAGAGCUUUCUUCUGGAAACUUAGAAAGGUCCUCCACAGACAGGGCUAAGAAACUUGACCCAGCAGGAAGGAGAGGAGCCACCUCCCUAUCCUCCGCCCGCAGCCCCAGCUUCGUGGUACUCUGCUGCAGUCUGGGAAGAUGGCUCAUCACUCUUGCUUCUUGUGAAAGCAAAUGCAUUUGAAAAGAGGAUUCUGAACAGAGCUGAGACCCGAAGAAGAGUCCUGAACCUGGGGCUUCAGACACUGUUCCUGUUAGACACUGGCACCCAGAGGAACCUUCCUCUGCCCCCGAGAUCACUCUGUGGGAAAACCCACCUCCUCUGUCCUUGCCUAAAACCCAUCUCCUCAAAGGCCUGGGCAUUCAGUUGUGCCUGAGAACCAGGCGGUGUGGACAGGACUGCACGCCCUAGUGGGAGCUGCAGAACAUCACCCUUCAUUGAUCUGUUCUCUCUCCACCUGCUUAAUAGGCAUUAAAAGCCACGCUCUGAAGGGCUGCCUCCAGCAGUUUUCAGACGCAUUGACAUAAUGGACUUGUCUCCACAGGACCAACCCCUGGGGACUCAGGGCAGGMGAACCAUUUAUAACACUGUCACGUUGCCCGAGAGGCCGGUGGUGCUCUGGAAAGGGCUGUUGUUGGCGCUGAUGAGCGCUUGGAGUUCAAAUCCAGACUCCACUCUCUACCUGGCUGGAUGACCCUGGGCAGAUUACUGACCCUGCCUGUGCUUCCAGCCCUCUGUCUGCAGAUCGAGGUGGACAAUCCUUGUGCACUGAUUGUGAUUCUUGAUAAUACACUAUUUUAUCGUGAGUCUUGGUAACAUGAGAUAAUAUAGGCAUAUUCACAAAAGAAAAAGGUCAAGGACAAUAUUAACRUUGCUUACUGUGCAGCAGGCACUGUGGUCAGUGCUCAACAUACGUAAGUUAUUAUCAUCAUUCUUCUUAUUAUUAU